rnacentral:rRNA from 1 species
AGAGUUUGAUCCUGGCUCAGAGCGAACGCUGGCGGCAGGCCUAACACAUGCAAGUUGAACGGACCCUUCGGGGUUAGUGGCGGACGGGUGAGUAACACGUGGGAACGUGCCUUUAGGUUCGGAAUAGCUCCUGGAAACGGGUGGUAAUGCCGAAUGUGCCCUUCGGGGGAAAGAUUUAUCGCCUUUAGAGCGGCCCGCGUCUGAUUAGCUAGUUGGUGGGGUAAUGGCCCACCAAGGCUACGAUCAGUAGCUGGUCUGAGAGGAUGACCAGCCACAUUGGGACUGAGACACGGCCCAAACUCCUACGGGAGGCAGCAGUGGGGAAUCUUGCGCAAUGGGCGAAAGCCUGACGCAGCCAUGCCGCGUGUACGAUGAAGGUCUUAGGAUUGUAAAAUACUUUCACCGGUGAAGAUAAUGACUGUAGCCGGAGAAGAAGCCCCGGCUAACUUCGUGCCAGCAGCCGCGGUAAUACGAAGGGGGCUAGCGUUGCUCGGAAUUACUGGGCGUAAAGGGAGCGUANGCGGACAUUUAAGUCAGAGGUGAAAUCCCGGAGCUUAACUUCGGAACUGCCUUUGAUACUGGGUGUCUUGAGUGUGANANAGGUAUGUGGAACUCCNAGUGUANAGGUGAAAUUCNUANAUAUUCNNAANAACACCANUGGCNAANGCNACNUACUGNCUCAUUACUGACNCUNANGCUCNNAANCNUG